rnacentral:rRNA from 1 species
UCAGGAUGAACGACUAGCGACAGGCUUAACACAUGCAAGUCGAGGGGCAGCACGGGAGUAGCAAUACAACUGGUGGCGACCGGCGCACGGGUGAGUAACGCGUAUGCAACCUACCUAUCAGAGGGGAAUAACCCGGCGAAAGUCGGACUAAUACCGCAUAAAACAGGGGCACCGCAUGGUGAUAUUUGUUAAGGAAAUUCGCUGAUAGAUGGGCAUGCGUUCCAUUAGGUAGUUGGUGAGGUAACGGCUCACCAAGCCGACGAUGGAUAGGGGAACUGAGAGGUUGGUCCCCCACACUGGUACUGAGACACGGACCAGACUCCUACGGGAGGCAGCAGUGAGGAAUAUUGGUCAAUGGGCGGGAGCCUGAACCAGCCAAGUCCGCGUGAAGGAAGAAGGAUCUAUGGUUCGUAAACUUCUUUUGCGAGGGGAAUAAAGUGCGGGACGUGUCCUGUUUUGUAUGUACCCUGAGAAUAAGGAUCGGCUAACUCCGUGCCAGCCGCAGC